rnacentral:rRNA from 1 species
UACGGAGGGUGCGAGCGUUGUCCGGAAUCACUGGGCGUAAAGGGCGCGUAGGCGGCUUGGCAAGCGUGCGGUGAAAGCUCGGGGCUCAACCCCGAGUCGGCCGUGCGAACUGCCAGGCUUGAGCACUGUAGAGGUCGAUGGAAUUCCGGGUGUAGCGGUGGAAUGCGUAGAGAUCCGGAAGAACACCGGUGGCGAAGGCGGUCGACUGGGCAGUGGCUGACGCUGAGGCGCGACAGCGUGGGGAGCAAACAGG